UACAGAGUAGAGAACAGGGAUUGCCCCAGUAACGGCGAGUGAAGCGGCAACAGCUCAAAUUUGAAAUCUGGCUCUCAGGGCCCGAGUUGUAAUUUGUAGAGGAUGCUUUUGGCGAGGUGCCUUCCGAGUUCCCUGGAACGGGACGCCACAGAGGGUGAGAGCCCCGUAUGGUCGGACACCGAGCCUCUGUAAAGCUCCUUCGACGAGUCGAGUAGUUUGGGAAUGCUGCUCAAAAUGGGAGGUAUAUGUCUUCUAAAGCUAAAUAUUGGCCAGAGACCGAUAGCGCACAAGUAGAGUGAUCGAAAGAUGAAAAGCACUUUGAAAAGAGGGUUAAAAAGUACGUGAAAUUGUUGAAAGGGAAGCGCCUAUGACCAGACUUGCGCCCGGUGAAUCACCCAGCGUUCUCGCUGGUGCACUUUGCCGGGCACAGGCCAGCAUCAGUUCAGCGCGGGGGAGAAAGGCUUCGGGAAUGUGGCUCCCUCGGGAGUGUUAUAGCCCGCUGCGUAAUGCCCUGCGCCGGACUGAGGUACGCGCAUUGCAAGGAUGCUGGCGUAAUGGUCAUCAGCGACCCGUCUUGAAACACGGACCAAGGAGUCGUCUUCGUAUGCGAGUGUUCGGGUGUCAAACCCCUACGCGUAAUGAAAGUGAACGCAGGUGAGAGCUUCGGCGCAUCACCGACCGAUCCUGAUGUUCUCGGAUGGAUUUGAGUAAGAGCAUACGGGGCCGGACCCGAAAGAAGGUGAACUAUGCCUGUAUAGGGUGAAGCCAGAGGAAACUCUGGUGGAGGCUCGCAGCGGUUCUGACGUGCGAAUCGAUCGUCAAAUAUGGGCAUGGGGGCGAAAGACUAAUCGAACCUUCUAGUAGCUGGUUUCCGCCGAAUUUCCCCCCUCAGGAAAGUA
rnacentral:rRNA from 1 species